AUGAAGUUGGUUGUGAAGACACACAGGAGGAUUGCCAGUCUUGGCUACAUGGUGACACAGCAACUUCUCAGUUUAAAACAUAAAUAAACAAACAUGGGUAAAUUGUGAAAAUAAUGUGAAUUAGUAAUUUAAAACACAGGAAUACUUAGAUCAAGGUUUUAUGCAGGCAACCAUAUCUCUUGGGGAGUUCAAGUGUGCAAUGGUUCCAGCAUUUGCAGAAGUUUGCCAUCCAACCCUUGUGACACCCACCCCCCAAAAAAGGAAGAAGAGGAAGAUAGAAGAAGGAGAAGGAGAAGGAGGAAGAGAAGGAGAAGAAGAAGAAGAAGGAGGAGGAGGAGGAGGAAG